ensembl:snRNA U6 U6 spliceosomal RNA
GUGCUUGCUUCAGCAGCACAUAUACUGAAAUUGGAACAAUACAGAGAAGAUUAGCAUAGCCCCUGCGCAAGGAUGACACGUAAUUCAUGAAGUGUUCCAUAUUUUU